UUCCUGUCUCCUAUGAUUUAGAUGAUGGA
rnacentral:piRNA from 1 species